rnacentral:rRNA from 1 species
AUGGGGAGAACAUGUGUUUAUGUUCAUCAUGUGGAUAAAGAGGCCUUUUUGAAAGGCAAUGUUGAGACGGACCCGGAUGAGCUUGACAUGGUGUUUGAGAGUAGUCCUAGCUAUGCGGAGCUUUUGAAACAAGUGAGGAAAGAUUUGAAUUGGAUGGACCCAAGUGACGUUGUUGAGUUCGAGGGAAGGCAUAAUGUUGGUUUAGGAAUGCACAUCCGUUGGAAGACAAUGCGUGUGAAUUCCGAGCAACGUUGGGUUGCAUACAAGGAGACGGUUGAGUCUACUUUGACAAGGCUCUUGAGUUAUUUGCCUCCAAGAAGGUUGAGUCUACUUUGA